GGUAUGCUUCUUCGGAAGCAGAGACCGGCGCACGGGUGCGUAACGCGUAUGCAAUCUACCUUUUACAGAGGGAUAGCCCAGAGAAAUUUGGAUUAAUACCUCAUAGUAUUAUGAAAUGGCAUCAUUUUAUAAUUAAAGUCACAACGGUAAAAGAUGAGCAUGCGUCCCAUUAGCUAGUUGGUAAGGUAACGGCUUACCAAGGCUACGAUGGGUAGGGGUCCUGAGAGGGAGAUCCCCCACACUGGUACUGAGACACGGACCAGACUCCUACGGGAGGCAGCAGUGAGGAAUAUUGGACAAUGGGCGCAAGCCUGAUCCAGCCAUGCCGCGUGCAGGAUGACGGUCCUAUGGAUUGUAAACUGCUUUUAUACGAGAAGAAACACUGCUACGUGUAGCAGCUUGACGGUAUCGUAAGAAUAAGGAUCGGCUAACUCCGUGCCAGCAGCCGCGGUAAUACGGAGGAUCCAAGCGUUAUCCGGAAUCAUUGGGUUUAAAGGGUCCGUAGGCGGUUUAAUAAGUCAGUGGUGAAAGCCCAUCGCUCAACGGUGGAACGGCCAUUGAUACUGUUAGACUUGAAUUAUUAGGAAGUAACUAGAAUAUGUAGUGUAGCGGUGAAAUGCUUAGAGAUUACAUGGAAUACCAAUUGCGAAGGCAGGUUACUACUAAUGGAUUGACGCUGAUGGACGAAAGCGUGGGUAGCGAACAGGAUUAGAUACCCUGGUAGUCCACGCCGUAAACGAUGGAUACUAGCUGUUGGAAGCAAUUUCAGUGGCUAAGCGAAAGUGAUAAGUAUCCCACCUGGGGAGUACGUUCGCAAGAAUGAAACUCAAAGGAAUUGACGGGGGCCCGCACAAGCGGUGGAGCAUGUGGUUUAAUUCGAUGAUACGCGAGGAACCUUACCAAGGCUUAAAUGUAGAUUGACCGUUUUGGAAACAGAACUUUCGCAAGACAAUUUACAAGGUGCUGCAUGGUUGUCGUCAGCUCGUGCCGUGAGGUGUCAGGUUAAGUCCUAUAACGAGCGCAACCCCUGUUGUUAGUUGCCAGCGAGUCAAGUCGGGAACUCUAACAAGACUGCCAGUGCAAACUGUGAGGAAGGUGGGGAUGACGUCAAAUCAUCACGGCCCUUACGCCUUGGGC
rnacentral:rRNA from 1 species